GCUACCGAGCUCAGACCAAACACUUAUUUUUAGUGUGCGAGAUUGAGCCCUACUACCACUCCCAGCUGCAGUGUAGACACACCCUUUUAGACUGAAGAUCUUUGGGACAGUCACUCCAUAUAUUUCUAUGUAUAGUACCUCACACAAUGGGGGCACCAUCCACACAGAGGCUUCUGACAACCACUGUGGUAUAAACAAGAAAAGAAAAAAAAAGAUUUCUAUGAGACAAUCUACACUGGUCUAAAGAUAGCUGAAGAAUUUUCUUCUUGCCAGAUAAUGCUCUCUGAUAAAAGUAAAGUCUGGUGAGUUUCAGCCAUAACUCAACCUUACUUUAAAUAAACACAUGCAGCCAACAAAAUCUCAUUGCAUGUUAACUAAAUGAGUCACUUCCGGUCCCCAAAUGCACCUCUCCUUCCACCCCAGCACAACUGUCACAUUUCUCAUAGAUGCAGGUCCAGGCAAAGCCUGUAAAAUGUUGCUGCUCCACAUUGUUAUUCUGGCUUUGGUUUUGUCUUACGGAUGUGCACAAAUACAUCUGAGACAAGCUCAGGUGUCCGUUACCAGGGCAGAAAAGAAAACUGCACGUAUAGUCUGUGAGGCUUCUGGCAUUCAGAACUUCAGGAGUGCUGUUAUACACUGGUACCGACAAAGACCUGGUGAAGCUCCAGAGCGGAUUCUGUACAUCUCAUCUGAAAAAGUUCAGUUUGACAAAGACUCCGAUAAGAAGUUUGAUGGGGAAAAUAACCCUAACCAGCCCAUCUCUACCCUAAGAAUAAAUGGAAUAAACCCUAACGACAGAGCUAUCUAUUAUUGUGCUUAUUGGGAUGGCACAAUGUUAGAAAGCCAUAGACAGCCUGUAUGAUAACCUCACUCUGUAUU